GGUCCUGUAGUGUAGCGGUUAUCACUACGGAUUCUGAUCGCAUGCCGGAGUUCCGUCAACCCAGGUUCGAGUCCUGGCAGGACCU